rnacentral:lncRNA from 1 species
UUAUUAGAUCUCACUUUCGCAAGUGGCCGUGAAGGGAUUGACAACCCCUUUAUUGCGUUGGUUGCGAGUUCUCAGUUUGUUUGUGUAGGUGCGUGGGACUUUUGAGGAGCCUCCUACUGGAUUGAUACCUUGGUUCUCAAAAACUGAGGGAAAUACUUACGCUACUAUUGCUACAUCACCCUCUCCUCUUCUAGGAAAACCAACGCAAGCUCAAGACGUAGCACUCACCCCCAAUCCAAUGGUCAAGCUGAGAGAGCCAAUCAGGAGAUCUUGAAAGGCAUCAAGCCCCGGCUUUUGGUCCCCUUGCAGCGGAUGCCGGGUUGUUGGGUUGAGGAGUUACCCUCUGUGAUAUGGAGCAUCAACACUACUCCCAACAGGUCUAUGGGUUAUACGCCUUUCUUCAUGGUCUACGGAGCUGAGGCGGUUCUCCCUAGUGACAUCCGUCAUGACUCACCCCGUGUGGCGGCUUAUGUUGAACCGGACAAUGAACGGGCACGUCAGGAUGCCCUUGACUUGUUAGAUGAAAAGUGUGACUUGGCAGCAGCUCGCUCGGUGAUUUACCAACAGGACCUGCAUCGUUAUCACAGCCGCUGGGUUAAGUCCAGAACAUUUCAGGAAGGUGAUUUGGUGCUCCGGCUCAUCCAAGAUCAAACUGAUGCACACAAGUUAUCCCCACCUUAGGAAGGGCCCUUUAUGGUCAGCAAGAACUUGCACAACGGGUCAUACUACCUUAUCGAUGUUCGAGAGCACAAAGACUCACGUAAGUCGGAGGAGGAGACCCGCCGGCCAUGGAAUAUAGCUCAUCUUCGGCCUUACUACACUUGAGCCACUGGCUCUUAUGAUGUACAUAUUUUGACGAUGUAUAUAUAUUAUGAUAAAUAAUAAAGCAGGACCUCUCUCCUUUUUUCAUCCUCAAAGGUAAUAUAUCAUUGUUAUUAUCAUUGUCAUCUUACAUGAUCGCUUGGGGGCUGAUCGUAUCCGAAUCUAGCUUGGCCCGUUUGAUCCGGCUUAUGAUCGUAUUAGAUUCUAGCCAUUAAACCUUAUGACUACUAGGGGGCUUCCUGUUCAAACAUAGGUCGUAUUCUGACCAAAGAGAACAUAGCUGUCGGUACCCUUUUGAUUGGCACACUGCCGAGCUCACUAGGGGGAUUCUUGAUCGUAUUUGAAUCAUAGCUCAACCCCUUUUGGGAACCGACAUUGAUCGUAUUUGAAUCAGAGUCGUUAGAAAACACUCAAGGUCAUUAGGGGGACCUGUUCAAACAUAGGUCGUAUUCAAACCAAAGAGAACAUAGUUGUCGGUACCCUCUUGAUCGGCGCAACACCAAAGCCACUGGGGGCUACAUGAUCGUAUUCGAAUCCUAGCUUAACCCCUUUGGAAUGGUUUGCUAAUCGUAUUCAAAUCAGAAUCCUUGAAUUUUUUUAUAUUCUAUUUGGUUUAAGUCUUCUUUGGAAGCACCCUUUAUUUGGCUUGAGACUUCUUUGAGGUUUACAAGUACAAAUGUGGUUAAUUUUAACCCGGCUUGAUAUUGGCUGAUAAGUCGCCAAUAUAUGAGAAUCAUUAUACCUUUGAAAAUAUUGGUUUCCGAAAAUUGGGUUAUCACCCUUACUGUCUGGGUUAUACAAGCCGACAGUGCAAAUUCAGAAAGGUCACAGGUAUAAGAUUAUAGUUGUGUUUCAAUAUUAUAUGUUACAACAUGCUUAUCUGUGAUUCCUCUUCUAUUUUAAUGUAUCAAGCUAUUAUGACCCGCCUUGCAGUAAGCCGCCAAGGGACAUUGUCAUCUAUUUCUAUGUGCAGGGUAGUUAAAAGACUUGAUCAAGCAUAAGGAAAAAAAAUGAUAAGUGUAAACCGGGUGAAGCUAAUAUGGCGGCUUAAUAGUAUUAAGCACCAAAAACGUGCACGAUGGCACGACAAAAGCAAACUUAUUUCUAUUCUAUUACAUGACUCCCCGAGCCCAAAUGAUUCAUAUUGUUUUUAGCACUUCACAGGUAUGAGCCGCCACGGCCGGUUAGCUCUCAUGUUGGCCUGAAGCGUCCGGGUUAGCCCUCUCCGCUUCUUCGCUCUGUUCCCUUUCCUGGAAGGUUGACGAUGACUAGUCAAUGUUGUUCAAAGCUUCAAAUUCAGCUUCAUCAUCAACUAGUCCGGCCGGGUCAACUUCAGGGGCGAAGGUGUGCAUACGGAGUGGGGGGGGGGGUCAGACUGGUCACUUUAUAGUGAGGUGUUGGAAUUCUCCGGUUCUCUGCGUCAUAACCCACCUGUUACUUGGUAAGAUCCACUUCGUCAGCUAUUAGGGUGGCCACGGGGCGUACCUCCUUCACACAAGCGGUAAAGUCUUCCUGUUCAAAGGAAGUACCAUCCUCCUUCAAGCUUGGAUAGCCAAUGGCGAUGUCCGCCGGGUCUAACUCCCGUAGCAAGCCUUGGCCCGGCUUAAAGCAUUCACCGCUCCGGCUCUUGCAGCUGACCGCCUUAGUUCAUUGAACCAUUGGGGUAGCACAGAAAGCUUCUUUAAUACCUCCGCCAGGAGGGUAGGCACUUCAUUUGACAAAGCCACAGUGGCUAAGGCACGUUGAGACCCGGUGUAUAGUUGCUCCACCAGUGUAUAAACCGCCUUCAACUUGAUCAACAUAUCUUGGUUUAGAUUUAAACUCCUGGGUCCUGCAUAAACAUGGUCAGGUGAGUCAAUUCCAAUUAUAUGGUCAAUUUAAAGGUUCAAGUAUUUAACACUUGCAGGGCGACUUACCAAAGAUCGCCGAGACCAUCUGAGAGACAUGGCGUUUUAAGACGGUUAAUUCACUGGUUGCUUCUUCAAGAGCCGCCUCUGCCUUCUCGGCUCGGUUAAUUAAUGCAAUUUUUUCAUCAGCCCAGGCCUUCUUCUCCAUUUGAAAUUCUUACUUCAGUUUUUCUUGUUCAGAAACGCCGAAUUUAAACUUGGAGUCGGCUCUUUGGGUUUCCGUCUCUUGGGCCUCAAGGCGGUUCUUCAGACCAGUCACUUCUGAUUCGAAUUGACUCGUGGCGACCUAUACAAAUACAGGGUAAAAAUCAAGACAAUUUUGAUGCAAUAUUAAGUCCCAAGCCUUUUGCCAGCAACAACACUUGGCACUUGGGGGCUAAUGUCUACCGAAGAAUUUUACUUAAAGUGGUUGUUCAUGACAUUAAAUCCCAAGCACUUUGCAAGCAAUAGUACUUGGCACUUGGGGGCUAAUGCAUAUUGCUGUUCAAAGCUUUGUAAAUAUUUUAUUUUAUACAACCAUAUGAAGGACCGGUUCAACCAUGCUGGUUAAGCCGCCCCUUGGGGACUACGAAGUAAGCCGGACUUCUUGCAUGUUUUAUCCAUCUAUGCUACUAAUGUCACUAAAUUUGUUUCUAAGUCUACAACGUAUUCAUCAUAAGCAACAGACUUGGGGGCUGGCAUAGUAAAGAUAAAUGAAUACAGAGAAAGGGUUGUACCUCAAAUUUUUGGUGCAUCUGCUUCACCAUGUUGAUCUCAAGGUUACGACUGCUGUGCACUUGGCUCAUGUAGCCAGAAAAGACUUCUCCAAUACUCAUGUGAGUAUAGUCCAUGACGUCAAGCUUGACCCGGCGGUGUUCAAGAAGCUCCUCCUUGGCGGAACACUUGGCUAGCACGGUUAGCCUUCCCAGAUCAGAAAAGUCGGUUAUGGUGAUUUCAACAUCAGUGUCUUGAGGAUCAUCCGUCCUGACCGAGCUAGGGGCUUCCGGGUUUUCUGAGCCAUCCACGGCUCGUUCAGCAGGCGGGUUAGCACUUGGAGUUGGUAUAUCUUGAGCCGAUUCAGGUGGCGGCUUAUGAGUUGAUGAUCCAGGCAUGGCUGUUCCAAGUACUGGCUCGGUCACGACCGUGUCUUCAACCGGCUUGUUCUUCUUAACCCUUUUGCUGGGCUUGGCUUGUCCACUUCAUAGUCAAAAGGUUAGGGCAAAACAACGAAUUGAAGUGAAUACAGGUUAAGCAGGUUAUCAUUACCUUGGUGCGGUCUUGAAAGCUGGCAGGUUGGACUGCAUUGAGUCGCCGGAGGAAGGUGAAGUUUCCUGAUAAUCCGAGUCAGAAGAAUUGAGUAGUUGACGAGUGAGACCCGCCAAAGGAUAAAAGAUAUUUAAAUCAGAAGUGACCUCGUUUUGGCGCUUCCUUGGAGUGUUCGGCAAGCCGGAGGAGAGCUCCACAUCCUUGCUGGUCCGGUCUGCCUCCGGCUCUCGUGAAUCUAUCGCUUCAAAACAAAUCAAGGAUCUUGAUAAGCUAAGGGAUGUGAAAAUAUUACUUUCCGGGUUACUCUACGGAUUUUCUGUCUUGGCAAAGGCUCGGAGUCGGAGGAAAUGAUAGUUACCUCUCCAGUCUUGCUAUUGCUUGCUCCUGUGUCCUCGUGCUGAUAAUCAGUGUCAAUAAGAUGGUUAAAAAAGGAGUCAAGAGAGUCAAGGGCUACCUCCGACUCAGAAGAAUCUGCUAGCCGAAGUAGGUUAGAGGCGGUGGCUUUCUUGCCCUUAUUCUUUGCAGCCUCUUUCCUAGUGACUUUCUUGGCCUUUCUGGCUUGUUUUGCAGCUUCAUAGUCAUAUUUGACCUUCCAGAAUUUAUCACCCGCCUGUGAAAGUUAGCAGAGGUAUGAGUAUGGGAAAAACAUCAAAAAACCAAAAUAAUUUGGUCAGAUGAACGGCUUACCUUUCGGGCCGGGUUAGCUUCGCAGAAGGGGGCUAGGCCCACCUUACCAUAAUCUGCUAGGCUCUCGUUCAGAAGGGAUUUCAUCAUAUCAUUGAUGACAUCUUCAGGUAAGUCUUCAGGACUGUGCCGUAGAGGGUCAUCCUUUUUGCCGGUGUAGGUGCACAUCAAGCCGGGGCGGCGGCUCAAUGGAAUGACCCGCCAGGCGAGCCAAACCCGGACUAAGUCGAUGCCAGUUAAUCCGUUCCCUAGAAGAGCUUUGAUCUUGGCUAAGGAGGGGGCGAGUGUUUUGUGUUUGGCGGUUGUGAUCUUGUCAGGAAGCGGGUGGUUGUUCCCAAGACGUAGAGCACGAAAACUGGGCAGAGGGUUCUCACCAUCCGGAGAGGUGUCUUGGCAGUAAAACCAUGUCUGAUUCCAGUCUUUGGGAUGACUCGGCGGGUUGGCAUAAGGAAAGAUUACGUCCCUACGAUGUUGGAUCGAGACACCACCAAGUUCUAAGCUCUGGCCGCUGGUGCGCUCAUUCUGGCGGUUCAAGAGUAAAAUAUUGGGUUCUUCUCCAAGAUAUACUUCAUUGAAUACUUGGAAGUUGCAGAUAUUAGACACAGAAUUGGGUAUGAUGUCUUGUGGGCGAAGGUCAAAGAGGUGCAACACAUCUCUGAAGAAUUUUGAGCCGGGUGGAGAGAAACCCCGGUUCAUGUGAUCCAUGAAAACAAUAACCUCUCCCGUUUUGGGUUGAGGAAAUUCCUUCUCCGGGUUAGGAGAACGAUAAGACAUGACUUCUUUCUUCGGCAAAUAGCCGGUCUUCACAAAAUCGUCGAGAGUGCUGUCUGUGACAAUGGAUUUGACCCAGUUGCAGGAAGUGGGUGCUUUUGGUGCCAUUGUGAUGAAAGCCUAAAACAGAGUAAAGUACCGGUUCAAAUUUAAGCCGGAGAGGAAAAAACAUUACGGUGCAUAUUCAAGAUGGCGGCUUAUGAAGGGGCCUAAUGGUAUAAGGAUAAUUAUGUCAAGACUAUUUUAAGCCGCCAUAGGCUCUAUAAGCCGUUAAAGUUGUUUAAACCACCAUGGGUGGUCGAGGUUAUCAAUUGAGCAUUGCCUCUUUAAAGCCGGUGAUAAGAGUCAGCAUGACUAGAUGGAUCUAACAAGUUCAGAUUUUUUGCCUAAGUGUUGCAUAAACAAGUUCCACAAACUGCAGCCAUUACUUUGGAUCGUUGUUCAGAACAGAAAAAUUUCUAGACCUAAAAACAUGGUAUAGAGGAGUUCAUAUGUUCUAAUGAGGAUUCUUUACAAAGAAAGAGGAUCUGCUAGUGCCUAAAAUGGAUGCGGGAUAGCUACCGCAUGAGAUCUACGCUACUGUUGGAUCAAAAGAAGCCAUGGCAGAAGAAACACGAAGAACUGAGAUGAGCUACAACUGUACAGAGGAACUCGCUAACCCUAGCGUGGAUCUGAGAUGCAGAAAGGGGAGAACUUACAGCGCAUAUCUGUUGCGGAGGAGCGCCGGCGUUCUCUGGUCGGGUUCAGGUCGAUGCAGCGGCCAGGGUUGACAAAGACGAGGUGCACUGCGGCGGCGGCAGUGGAGCUCGAGUAACAGUUGGGGGCGAGAGGAAGAAGAGGAAGAAAGGGAAGAAUGAAGAAAGAACUAGUCGGGUCUACUUAUAAGGAAGGACCACUAAAAGAGCACGAAAAACGAGGAGGCUGAAAACAUAAGUUAUUCAACUACAAGGACGCCUCGAUUUUCAGGAUGGUCAUCAAGAUAAAGAUCCGUUGGGAUACAUUAAACAAAACAUGCAUUUAUGACAUGUGAUGUCAUGGCGGGUUACCAUAAAUCCAGAGGAUGACGUCAUGGCUGGUUACGAAAACUUCAUAGGUAAAGGGCAGAAGAUUUUUUCUGAAGUGUUGAAGAUUGACAUGAACCAGUCCAAAUCAAUCUGGGACCUAAUGUUGAGGAUAAUGUUGAGGAUAUAACUAUUGGUAUGACCUGCCCAGGAGGGGCCGGGUUAUACCUACAUGUAUUCUUGAAGCCCAAGACCAAGGUUGAAGAUGGCGGCUGAGUUAAGGGCCCAAAGCCCAGAGGCGACUUAAGGCCCGUAGUGAUAAACCGCCAUAUGUACGUGACUUGUAUUGUAAGGCAAGAAUAGUUAAGAGACCGAGCCGGACACUGUUUAUGAGCCGGUCGGGACUCUAUGAGCCGUUGGGCGUCAACCUAUGUAUAUAAAGGGACGACCCGACGGCGGUUCAGGGCAAGUAACAUCAUAUCGAGAGCUAGGUCAAGGGAUUUGCUCCCUGGUUAUCGAGACAUAAGUAAUCCCACUCAAAACUAGAUCGUAGGCUUUUACCUUCACCGCAAGGGGCCGAACCAGUAUAAACCUCGUGUCCUUUGUCCCGAUUAACCCUUUUAAGCUUCCUAGUUGUGAUGGCUCCACGACUAAGUCCUGUCACUAGGACAUCUGCCGUGAUAAUUCCACGACAGAUUUGUCUAGUCCAGUUAUAGAUGCUCUUAGAGCAUCACCAACAGCCGUGCUAUAUAAGCGCCGCGCUGGAAAAUUUGGGUUUUUUGCGCGCGCACAGCCGCUUCGGGAGUUCCAGCGGAGGCGCAAAAACCGCGCGCGUGGAAUAAGUAGUUCAGCGCGUGGGGCGAAAUGGUAUUGCGCGCCGCUUAUUUUGUGCGCCCGCUUCUGCGCGUUGUACACUCCAGCGCUCGCGUCGUACUCUCUCUGCCACGCCGCUUUCGCCCCUCCCGCGCCGCCGUCGGCGAAUUCGCCCGAUGGACGGACACGCUGACACCCCCUCACCCCUCCCUACACCCGCGACCCCUCCGCGGCCGCCGCCGCAAACCCUAGCGUGGGGAGAUUUGGCUUCGCCUCCGCCGCUGAUGUGGGCAUGAUUUUGAACUUUUAUGUCAUUAACUUGUUUAGUGAUUUUAAACUAUCUAUGUCUUGUUUUGAUGUUUGAAAUAUCACCAUAUUGUCUCCAAAAAUGCAACACAUGGCAAGCGUCGGCUGCUCGCGCGCGCUGCAUUUUAGCGCGUGCUAUAUUUAUAGCGGCCGCUAGAGCCAGCGCUCCACGGCGCGCAAAAAGUCACGAUUCCGGCAUUGUAAACACUUUUUUAGCACGCCGCGCGUUGCGCGCCUGUUGGAGAUGCUCUUAGACUUCUGCAGUCGGAAGAAUUUUGUAGGAAUUCUCUACAACAUAAUUUCUAAACAAAAAAUAGCUCUUUGAUUUGCAGAAACAUAAUCUUCUGCUUGAUGUGCUGGCGAAUUUGGACUCAUGGAUCUGACUUGAAUUUCGGCCCCAUAAUAGAAGUCUGAAGAGGUACACCUGUGUUUUUCCUAGCAGCACGGGCAUUAACUGUUAGGCCCAGCUUUAAUUCUUCCAGAAAUGAGUGUGCGAAAGAUUGAUUCAAAGGGUGUUUUCAAUCUGUGUCGAGUUCUUCUUGUCCACCUGCAUUUCUGAACGUUGAGCCGUAAGCAAAGCACCAAACUUGGUCCGCGGGUCAGCGCGUCUCAAAUUGCCCGCAAAUGUUUACGUUAUGAUGUUCGGGUUAGUUUUGCCAUCCAAAUACGGUAUUGUAUAUGUCCGUACAGGGUCUCCUGAGCCGUCCUCCUCCUCGCUAAGGCCACCAAGACAAGCAAGGAGUUCCACUGGCAGCUAGAGGUCCUCUCGAGUGGUCGCUGAGUGACCGAGGUUCGCCGCCGCCCUUACCGUCAUACUCGCCGGCGUCCUUACCGACGCCCUUACCGGCGCAUCAAGCAGGAGGUGAAGAAGGAGCUGCCCUUGCCUCCCCCCAUGGUACUGUCGCGUCCAAAUCGGACAUCGCAUUAAGAAGGGGGUGAAGAAGUGGAAACUGCCUUUGGUGACCGAGCUCACUGGAGGCCUCUAGAUUCAAAAUUCAAGUUUCAUUAAAAUUCAUAUUUUUUAUAUUUCAAAAAAUUCUCAAAAAAAGUACAGAUAUACAUGAAGGCAUAGCACACAUGUGUGUUAAUUUUCAGAGCAAAAUACGUUGAAAUGAGGGAUGUGCAAAAAAGACAAAUCUAGGGCUAUUUAACACAUGAUACUACUCAUCCUUUCAGGCCAUGAAUUUGUCUUUUUUUGCACAGGUCGUAUUUCAACGUAUUUCACCAUGAAAUUUUACGCACAUGUGGGUUACAUCCUUAUAUACACACAUGUUUUUUUCAAAAAAAAUUAAACAUAAAAGUUUGAAUUUGAAUUUUUUAAAAAUAAAGGCCUCCAUGGAGCUCGGCCUCGAAAACGCCAUUUUCGUGAACAAGGAGUUGUUCUCUCUACGUAGCACGUUCGGCCGCUUCGACCAGUCAACAUCACAGCUUGGACUCCUCUCGCAUGGCAAGAAGAGGGCGCCACCAUCACCUCCCCGUCGACGCCCUGGUUGCUGUGAAGAAGGAGCCCUCCCUGACGCUCCUGAACAUGCGGGGGGUGGGGGGGCUCCUGCAUUACCUCGGCCGCGGCAACACAUCGUCGCGCAACACCGUGACUCUGGCCAAGUAACUAGUGAGGGCAAGGCGAGGGGCGGGUGGUCCGGGGCAGCUACUGCAACCAUGUGUGUGAUGGUAGAGAAAGCCGAGCGGCAGUCGGCAACCAAUCAGGGCCGCCAUAGCCCCUACACAUCAUUUCUUUGGUUUGUGUGAAAUUCAUCGAUCUGUUUAAUUUCUGUUUGAAAUGCUAGCAGGCCUUUCGACCACGCAAUUGGGUAGUCGGCUCUUGCACUUGUGUCCACCAACGUGUCCAGAUUUGUGGCAUCGCGUUGGAGAUGCCCUAAAGCAGCGGACCUCGGCUGAAACCAUCUUAGAGCAUCUACAACCGGACCUCUUAAACCCUUCUCAAACGCCCGGGUAGGCUUCUGAUCGCUGCCCGAUCAUGAAAUUUGGACCCAGAUGGCCCCUCAAAACGCCCGGGCUGACCGGAACCCCCCAUAUCCAGCCCAAAUAUAGGGCGGAUAUGAGGGCGCCCGGGCACGCCCGCCACGUCGGACCCGACCCAUGCUGGCCCACUCGACCCCACUUAUAUUCGUCCCCAUCCUCCCGCCAGACCAAACCCUAGUCACUUCACCCCACUCCUCUCCUCCAUCGGAGCUCACCUCCGGCGGUUUGCGACCGUCUCUGCCAUGGCAGGCAGCGGCUCAAAGUCCGACCACUCGACUGAGGUGUCGUCCCAUGUGGGUUGGAGGAGGCAAUGGCAGUCCACAUUGCACUCCGCCGCUAGGCUCAUUGGUCGGUGAGGAGUUGGAUGAGAUUCAUCAUGUAAUCAAGUUAGUUUUGUUAGGGCUUGAUCCCUAGUAUCCACUAUGUUCUGACAUUGAUGUUGCUAUGACUUUGCUAUGCUUAAUGCUUGUGACUAGGGCCCGAGUGCCAUGAUUUUAGAUCUGAACCGUUUAUGUUUUCACCACUAUAUCUAUGCUCUUGAUCCGAUCUUGCAAGUCAUAUGCACCUACUAUGUGUUGUGAUCCAUAAACCCCAAGGUGACAACAAUUGGGAUACUUUUCAGUGAUGAUUGUAGUUUGAGGAGUUCAUGUAUUCACUAUGUGCUAAUGCUUUGUUCUGAUUCUCUAUUAAAAGGAGGCCUUAAUAUUCCUUAGUUUCCUUAUGGACCCUGCUGCCAUGGGAGGGUUGGACAAAAGAUGCCAUGCACGUUCUUUUCCAUAAGCAUAUAUGACUAUUUACGGGAUACAUGUCUAUAUUCUAUUUAUGAACUGGAUCUAGUUCUGUGUCGCCCUAGAUUAUGACUGAUAUAUGAUGAAUAUUAUCCAACGUAAUCACCGAUCCAAUGCCUAAGAACUAUUUACUUUUCUUGCUAAGUUACUACUGCUAUUGCUACUGUUACAACUACUACAAAACUAUUACUGUUGUUACCGUUACUGGUGCUAUCAUCACUACUACUAUCAAAUUAUCAUAUUACUGUGCUACUGAUCACUUUACUGCAAAUAUUUAAUCUUCAGGUAUGGUUGAAUUGACAACUCAACUGCUAAUACUUAAAAAUAUUCUUUGGCUCCCCUUGUGUCGAAUCUAUAAAUUUGGGUUGAAUACUCUACCUCGAAAACAGUUGCGACCCCCUAUACUUGUGGGUUAUCAAUGAGAAGCAUGCCUCUUAUGGAUGUUUCUCGCCUCGUGCCCUCUCUGCAUGUCGCUGCUACCUGUCAUGUUGAGCGACCCUGAGAGUGAGGUCGUCACUGAUGGAAUGGCUUCGGUGCUACAAAGUAUGCCUGAGCCGCAAGUGUUAAGUGUGAAACCCACUUCUCCUUUAUUGAUGGUGCUCUCAAAGGUGGACUCGCUUGGGGAGACGUCGGUUGCCUCGAUGCCCUCUCCACCUUCAUUGGAGCCUAGCCAGCCAGCGUAUGCAUAUGUGGAGAGUGUUGGUCCAGGAACGUAUGACAGGUGCUCGCUUGAGCCCUUUGGAGGUGUGGUUCCUAUGACUGAUGAAAUUGUUGUGGGCAGAGUGUUAGUGCCUAACCCUUGGGUCCUUUUAGCCACCAAGAUUUGUAAGUUCCUCGCCAAUUUGAUUCUGAAGAUUCUAGGAAGACGAUUGGAUGCUUUUUGGAGGAAAAAGCUCCGAGGGACAAGCACAAGAAGGGUAGCUCUAACUCUAGAUCCGGCACCCUCCAAGGGAAACCUUGAAAGUGCAAAAGCAAGAAGGAUGACACUACAGGGGAGGUGCAAAUAAUUCCAUGAUGGAUGGUUCGCGGCUUUCUGAGUUGCAGGUGUGUGGUUGGUCGUGUGUGGUUUUUGUCGAUGUGUUUUCUUCGAGUUGUAGCGAGUCGGUUGAUUUUCUUUUCUUUUGCGAUACUGAGACCCAUAUGUUGCGGGUUGCAGUAGUGGUAUGUUGGGUAUUUUCGUCCCGUGGCUCCGCAGUUUGGGAGUAGUUCACACAUGGAUGGGAUCGUGCUUUUGAGCAUGGUUGUGACGGUUUUCGCCCAAUUUUACAAAUUAACAGGGCAACUCUCUUUUUCUUAAUUAAUAGAUGAAGCAAAACUUUUGCCGUUAUUUUUAAAGAAAUUAUCGAAGCUCGCCACAGGUAAACACGUACCGCUAGCGAAUAGGGAAUUGUGCCCUAUACUGUUUAUUUUUUAGGAUACCAGUGACGAGCAAUAUGUGUGCAUGUCACUGAAGAUUUUGGCAGCUACAUGCAUGUUUGCAGUAGUGGAAGAACUUCCUUUUUCCUUUAAUAACACAAGUAAGGGAAACACCGCGAGAGCGAAUAGAAGAAAUGUAGUAUUGCAACUCUCCUAGGAAGAUAUCCUGGACGAUGUUUUAUCCAGACAGAACAUGGCAAAAAAGAAAAAUACUACUAGUAAUCACGGGGAAGACGGAGGACAGCUUGGUGGGGGCAUCUGACCCCCACAUGAUUUAUGAGCAUCACCGACUGACGUUGAUGUGGUAUAGUUCUUCGGAGUCACCGAAUAACGCACCCAUCUUUGACUUGUUUCUUCUACUGGAAUAGCUGUCACAGCUUGCUCCUUGUGCACGACCGUGAUGAUCAUCAUCAAACUAAGAACUAUCACUACUGCCACAACUUUUGACAUUGUCAUUCACAAUAUAGUGAACAGACUAUCAAGUAUGAUGUAGCAGACUAGUGUUCUGGUUGUAAGGCAACACACAGGAUGACAUAUAU